rnacentral:rRNA from 1 species
AGUGAACGCUGGCGGUAGGCCUAACACAUGCAAGUCGAACGGCAGCACAGUAAGAGCUUGCUCUUACGGGUGGCGAGUGGCGGACGGGUGAGGAAUCCAUCGGAAUCUACUUUUUCGUGGGGGAUAACGUAGGGAAACUUACGCUAAUACCGCAUACGACCUACGGGUGAAAGCAGGGGAUCUUCGGACCUUGCGCGAUUGAAUGAGCCGAUGUCGGAUUAGCUAGUUGGCGGGGUAAAGGCCCACCAAGGCGACGAUCCGUAGCUGGUCUGAGAGGAUGAUCAGCCACACUGGAACUGAGACACGGUCCAGACUCCUACGGGAGGCAGCAGUGGGGAAUAUUGGACAAUGGGCGCGAGCCUGAUCCAGCCAUACCGCGUGGGUGAAGAAGGCCUUCGGGUUGGAAAGACCGUUUGUUGGGAGAGAAAAGCAGCAGGUUAAUACCCCGCUGUUCUGACGGUACCCAAAGAAUAAGCACCGGCUAACUUCGUG